rnacentral:lncRNA from 1 species
GGAGGAAUGGAACAAGGGAAGUAAGGGGCAGCAAAAACCCAGGUGAUGGUGACACUGGAAGUCCAAGCAUGCACCAGCUUCAUGGCUCUGAGAAAACACGUCCAAACCAGUGCCUGGAAAGAUAAAGAACUCCAUUUCAACCUCAGAAUUGGAGGUCUCUGGAACAGGAGGUGGGAGGUGCUUUAUCUCUGCUACGAAGGAAGCAAUUUCAUCCUGUACACAAGCUUCUGUGACGAUUGCUUAAGCUGCAGAAGAGAGUGAAUCAAAAGUCAGAUGCAAAAAUAGUGUGGGCCGUGAUGAAGAUGAGCAGAAGAAGUCUGGAGGAGCCCAGGGGAGCCAGGAGAAGAGGUCACAGGCAUAGUUUUCCAGGGGUCCUUCCUAUUCUGAUCUGUACUCUAAAUAACCAGAUUGCAUUUGAUUAAAAAAACAGGUCAA